AGAGCAGCCACCACAGGUUUGUACCCAAGAGGGCUGCAUUUCACUUGCCCAGUGGGAGGUUUAACUUGUUUUGAAAUUUUUUGGCACAGGGAUGCAAGAUAGUGCUGGCCUGUUGGAGAAGAGCCUCGGUGACUGAACACUGGGAAGAUCUGGAUUUCUCAAAUCUGAGGAAUGAAAGGGCAGUGCGUUCUACUGAACAGCAAAGACCCAAAUCCCAGGUCCCCUCUGUGUCCCACCUCUUGGGUGGGACACCUGGGGUGAAUCAGCAAGUCAGGCCCGCAGAGCGAGGACUCCUGGCCAUAGCGGCUUAGCGUCUGGAGGGCCCGCAGUGUUCUGGGAGUGUAACCGGGCAUAUACAGGGCGCAAGAGCUCAGCAGUGGUGAUGGAAAGUAAUAGUACCUACGAGGACCUAAGGCCAGGCCUUCUCCGGUUACCUCGGACCAGGUCCUAAUAGCCGGCUGUUUCAUUAGGACAAUCUUGCUGCUUCUUGAAAAACUGAACAAGGCAACAGGCAGUUUCCGAUCAGUAGGGAAUACGGGAGCAGCAUCAAAGGCAGCCUAGACCCACAGGGCCUGCACCACACAGAGCCCAGCACAGGACACAGGUGAGCAGCGGGCGUGGCCCUGUCCUUGGAAGCAGCAUGACCAGGGGCAAAGUCAGACUA
rnacentral:lncRNA from 1 species